ACCCUGCCCUGGUGAGUCAGUCUGUCUGUCUCUGUCUGGGAAGGUGGUGUGUGUUGAGGGGGGUUCUGCCUCUACUGGAGACCGGAAGAACAAGACCACAGGAUGGUAUCCUGCCCUGGUCAUCACCCCAGACUGCCAUGAAGAGGCCACCAUCAAGAAAGACACCGUCUUCGUUCGUUCCUUCAAGGAUGGCAAAUUUAACACUGUGCUGAGGAAGGACGUGAGAGUGAUUGGACACAGACUCUCCUCCUAAAGCAGACGCAGGACUCAAACCAG